CGGGCCGGGCCGGGCAGCACCAGGGCGGGCCGGGCCGGGCCGGGCUAAGCAGCAGCUGGGCGGUCACGGGCCGGGCAGCACCAGGGCGCCUGGGUUGGGCCGGGCCGGGCCGUGCAGCACCCAGGCGGGUUGGGCCGGGCCGGGCCGGGCCGUGCAGCACCCAGGCGGGCUGGGCUGGGCUGGGCCGGGCCAUGCAGCACCCAGGCGGGUUGGGCCGGGCCGGGCCGUGCAGCACCCAGGCGGGCUGGGCUGGGCCAGGCCGGGCCGGGCAGCGCCCGGGCGGGCUGGGCCUGGCCGGGCCGGGCCGGGCAGCACUGGCGGGGCCCCCGGGGCGCAGAGCGCCGGGCUCGCAGACCCCGCAGCGGGUGGAAAGCCCAUUACUUUACGGUGCCUCAGCCGGGGCCUGCGGCAGGAGCCCGGACUCGUUAAAAGGUCACCGCUGCUGCCGAGCCGGGCUCUCCGGGGAGGGGCGCGGAGAGGGGCCCUCCCGGUGGCCCCAGCCCGGCUCCGCUCCGGGCACGGGAGGCUCCUGAUUGUCUCGACCACGUGCAGGGUCAGGCCUGGACGCUUGGCCUUGCCCGGCUUCCCGGUCAGAGCCCGAGUUUUUCUGAGAAGUGUGAAGUAGUGCAGUGCGGCAGAGAGCUACUCCCAGGGCACUCGGGGAGCAGGAGAGGGCCCAUAAGGGAAAGCAAAGUAAUAGUUCUUGUAGGUUUUAGUCUGAAAACUGACUGCUCAAAUGGGCUGCUUCUUACCAAAAAGACUGUUACCUACCUUCCCCUAGCAGCUGUUCUUUGGGAGGGGUUGCACAUGUCCACACUGUAGGCAUGUACCUGUUUCGGGCAGUCGAGAGAGAACCUUUCCCCAAGCCGUACCUGUCUGGGCCGGAGGGGCACUGCCUGCCACUGCCAGCAGUCUAAGACUCCACUAGAGAGAGGAAGGAAGGUAGCUUGUGGAAUGGACAUUUCAAAGAACAACACUUUGGAAAGGUCCUUCUCUGCAGAACUGCUGCCUAGCCCUUCGGUCCCUAGACUGUAGCGGUGCAUUGGAUUCUUCCAUCCUAACGGGUGCAACAGAUAAUCCAGUCUGGUUAAUGGAAGCCUGCACUGAAGAGACAUUUCUCUGCUGAGACCAGGUAGAAAAAUGUUUCCAUUUGGCCAGGACUCUAGGUAGUAAUGGAAUCGGAGGAAAGGCGUUCAGCAGGGAGUUCAUCCGUGAUAGCUGGAAAGCAUCUGUCAAAGACCCAGGGCUGGAACUCCCUCAGCAGCAGAACAGGAGGCAUUUGUUGCAAACAGGUCCAUGUGGGAAGUUUCCCCAGAGCUGGAAGAUGAGCCUAGCGACAUCUGGACCUAGUGACCAUUCAUGGCGAGGGGACAAAGACCUGCUCAGGAACAUGAUGAACUUGCGGUGGUCUAGAGGGAUCACUAUAUGGAAGUAACCAUCCUUUAAGUCGAGGGCAGCAUACCAGUAGCCCUGUUCAGGGAAGGAAUGAUGGCAGCUAGGAUAACCCUGGGGAUCUUCAUUUUCUUCAGGAUACACCAGGGUUGUGUCUUCCUCCUCAAACUCACUCUCAGAUGUGCAGAAUAGGGGGAGCAAGAGGUUUCUAUGCACUGUCUUUAUUUGCCCUGGACCGUCUUCAGGUUUGAUCUUGUAGACCGGCAGAUCUCCCAGCUUUUCAGUCACCAGGAUGACAGCAAGGAGGACCAAUUUGUACCAACUACGGUGCGGACAUCUGUCCACUAAGAAGUAAUCCUUCCAGCCUGGAAAUUCAGGUCACAUACAGUAAGGGGCAGCAAAUGGCCAUCAUGAGGGAUGGCUUUUCACCACCACGUGGGAUGGCUUUUCACCACCACUGGCCUGGCCUGGCCUCAGACCAACAGAGAUCUGCCUCACAGAGCUUCCUCCCUGGAAACUCCCUCCUCAGGGGCUGCCACAGGAGCCUACCCUUCCUACAGCACCUCUCCACAGUCCCCCAAACUUCAAUCCAAGCACCCCUUAAGCUUUACUAUUACUGCCUUUUGUGCUUCAUUGCCUCUAGCUCCUCACAACUAAAGAAAACAUGCCUAUCAUCCUAGACUUUGCAGCCCCUAGCCUCCCAGACUUCUUUCGAGCUCAGGACCCACUAGCUCUGAAAUCAAGCCUCUCUCACACAGGUUUCUUCCCUGCCCCUUUUUCCACUGCCUUGUGCUUCUUCUUUCAUGAAGACCCAGUUGGGUUUGAUCACCAGUAAUGCCUAACACCCCUCCAGGUGCCACACUAUAGCCUAACUGGGCUCAGGCUCCUGUUAACCCUGAUUAACCAGUGUGGUGUUUAUACACCCACUCCAUCAAAUGACAUUUCUAGGGGGAAGAGGGCAUGCCACAGGACUGCACACCCAGCUGAACAGUGUGCCUCAACAUAUUCAGAAAUGGUCAUGCAAACGCCAGAAAAAAUAUACAGAGAAGGGGGAAAGCCAUUCCAUGGCUGGGGGCGUUACUGAGCUCAUGUUGAAAAAGGAAGUACUUUCCUAAGUGAGUGAGCAACUCUAAUUUUGCAAGGAUGGAAUAUGCCAUUAAAAUACUGCAUCCCACAUUAAACCACAGAUUUCCAUUCAGUUCUGGUGUCUCUUUGCAACUCCUUCCUGGUGAGGAACAGCAGGGAUCACCAUUCACCUAUAUGAGCUAACGCCUUUUUGUACUGCCACACUCCUGUUAUUGUUCUGUCUAUAGUCUUUCUAAUAGCGUUACUGCUACACGUUAUGGAAGUGGAAGUGCCUUAGUCCAAGAGGAAAUUGGGUGACUUGCCUGUGUUGUGUUUUAUGCUUGUUUGUUAUUAUUAUUAUUCCUGAUUAUUAUCAGCACUGCAAUGGCACAUGGACAUACUGAUCAAGAUCUGUGCUAUGGUUGUGUUGGCCACUGUACGAACGUGAAAGAAAAGAUGGUUCCCUGCCCCAAAGCUUUUAUGGACAUUGAUUUGAAUCCAAAUGAGUCAAGUAGCAGCAGUGUCUACAGAGAUGAGAUUCACAUUAUGGACAAGGCAUAGAAAUAUGUGCAGUGGGCUGCACCGCACACGCUCUCCUGUGUGAGGGCCACCAUAGUACCGAGUGGUGGAAUAAAAUACACACUGUCACAUGUUCUGUUUCUACCACCCCAAGGGGAAGCUGAGGAUGUCCUAAGUUUCAACAGGGGCAUCAGAUUCCACUGUGGGCCAUAGCACUGCCUGGAUCUCUGGAGCACUGUGUGCUCUGGCCCCAUUCCUGACAAGCCUAUUUUGCCCAUAGCCACACCCCAUCUCCUAGGGCUUGUGAGAGAUUCCCAGAAGACAACUUUACAAUGUCGUCUACCAGGACUGAGCUGGAGGAAUCUUCCCCCAGACAGUUACAGGGCUUUUCGUGCCCGUGUACACCACCCCAGCACUUUUACCCAGCACAAAGGAGCUUGUGAUUGGAGGGUGCUGGGGGGAGUGGUGUUCAGGAUCUUACCUUUGCUUCUUCAUUACCACAGAGAGAAUUCAUUGACUUCCUUGUCUGAUAUUGGGAUAUAGUGCUCUCAUGCCACACAAUGAAGCUUGUACUUGUAAUCCACAGAGAAUCAUAGCAAUGUAGGGCUGUAAGUGUUAAAUUGGAGCCUUAUAGUUAAAUAUAUGUAACAGAAACAACGUGGGCAAAGUCUGCAUAAGGAAUACCAGGAGAUAUAUUGCUUAGAAGCUUUUGUUUAAAAGUUAUUCGCAGUAUCUCAACUAUAUGUUUUCUGUGUGUUACAUAUUUGUUUUACUAAGAAACUGUAUUUUAGUCUCUCUUUGGAGUUGACUGGGAAGUACUAACACCUACGAAUCAGCAUUUUAUGUACAUAGCCCAGAGGGUAAUUCUGUGUCAUACUUUCUGAAAAAUCUGAAAAGGGAAAACAUUGAGCUUCAGCAAAGACUUAAGCUGAGGUGCAGAAGAAAGGAGAGUGUACGAGCAUUGUACAUAACAUUGCCAUCCCUCUGCCCUGUUAUUCAUGAUGAUUUGGAGGUCAUUCUGAGACUUCAUACUGCUGUUAUUUUCCAAUUUGAAAAAUCAGGUAGUGUAUCCAAAAGUAUCCACUCCCUACAGUUACUAGAUGCUGUGCUGGUUAGGGUUGUAGGAGUUCCUGAGCAGACAUCGACAGAUUACUGUAAGGAUUUGAUAGUUGAGGGAAGGUAGUGGGUCUGUCACCAGGGGUGGGUGCCUGUGAGUUUAUCUUUGUAGCAUAUAUUCAAAAAAUAUUUGAAUCAAUCAAUCAAAUUUGUGCUCCAUCCAGAUCACAGAACAUCUGGAAAUACCAAGGAGCUGCACAGAAAAUCUGCCAAACUUGCGCAGUGGUCUCCUCUGAUACCACCUCAAAGUUGAGCAGAGAGAGAAGAACCUUCCCCCUCUACCUUUCAGAUGACAUUAGAAGGGAACCAACAGCCCUGGUUCACUUUCAGAUGGGCCCUGGUAUUUACAAAUUCAAAUCUCACAUAGUCUGUAGGAAGAGCGCAUUCUGGGGCACAAGUGCUCAAGGCCUAGCUAUUUCAAAGGUAAAAGAAAAUGUUAUUCCUCCUCCUAACAACCCGUAUUGGUAGAAAAGAUACUUUUCUGAAUACAGUCAGGCCCAUGCACACACCCAUUUUUUAAUCACCGAUGUGCUAGGUGUAAAACUGAUAGCCUUCAUCUUUUCAGACAUGUUUCACAAUAGGAAUGGGCCAUGUCACUGAGCACUGAUCAAGAAGCCCAUUCUGAGAAUCAAUGAGUGUUUAAUGAGUUUCAGAUUUUGAAAUAGCAUGAACAGUUUUAGCUUUUGGCAUCUUCAGAUAUAUUUGCUUUAAAAACUCAAAUAGUGUCAUCAUUUCUGCAUAUUUCCUCUUUCUGGAGAGAUAGAUCCCACAGGGAGAUCUCAGCAUGUACUUAGGGACAUCAACCACUAGAUGUCCUCAUACCUCUUCAAAAACUCUGCAGUAUUUCUGUGCAUUAAUGUUCCACAUUUCACAAUAAAAACUAGAACUGACCAAAUAGUGGAAAAAUCUUCCACAAAUAUUCAUUUGGAUUAAAACAAUUAUCUCUUCCCAUGAGCCUUUCAUUUUAAAGCAUUCAAGCUUUAGUAGUGCAAAUACUCACUGCAAACCAAAUGUUAUGACAAGUAUCCUUCAGUGUUUGCUAAAAGCAAUUUUUCAGUUCUAUAGUCAAUUGUAAUGUUCUAAAUUUGAAAUUCAUACUGCAUUGAUCAGUCACUGUUAAAAACAAUUAAUUUAGAUUUAGAUAUAACACUAAGCAUCCUCCAAGAUGGCUUAAUGUGCCUUGCCAUUACAUAAAAUCACGAAUCAGAAAUAAAUACAUUAGGCUAUGUCUACACUAGAGAGCUUACAAUGGCAUGGCUGUACCGAUGCAGAUGCGCUGCUAUAAGAUCUCUUGGGUAGCUGCUCUAUGCUGGUGGUAGAGAGCUCUCCCGCUGACAUGAUUAAAUCACCUCCCACCAAUAUAGUGCUGUGCACCCCUAGUGACAGACCCACAACCCUCCCUCAACUGCUUAAGCCAGCAAAACUUAUGUUGCUAGGAGGGAGGUUUUUUCACACCUCUGAGCAACAUAAGUUUUGCCAACAUAAGUGGUAGUGUAGACAUGGUCUCAUUCCUACCUAUCUUCAAAUACAAACAGUAAUUACCCCACAAUAUCCCAAACUAUGCCCUGUCCCUCUCACCUAGCCCUUCUUAAAGCCAAAACUAGGCUAACUAACAAACACUGAAUACUGAAUAUUCAGGAUGAAUUGUUCACAAGCUAUUUGUGUAAGAAAAACAGUAUGUGAAUGAUUUUGGAUCUAUAGUUUCAGGGCCUCCCUGCACUGUACCGUGUGCAGUCAUUUAACUCGGUGCCCAAGUGCUACAAUUGUGUUUUGGGAGCAUUUCACAGCCACUUUGCACAGAUUUAUUUGACUACACAAGGUGAUGGGGAACAGUCAACAUGGAUUCACCAAGGGCAAGUCACACCUGACCAAAUGGAUUGCCUUCUAUGAUGAGAUAACUGGCUCUGUUGAAGGUUAAAGAAUGGUGGUGACUAUUUUCAGUUAGAAUGCCCAUAGCCUAAUAGCGUAUGGACAGGAAUUAUUAAAUGAAAUUAUUAAAUGAAAAAUAUUAUUGAUAUGAAAACAAAGCAUGAGAUAAUAUGCGUACAAGAGACUUGGCUAACAGGAAAACUAGAUUAUAAAAUCCCACCAUGUGGUGUAAAGAAACAGGAAAGGAUGAGGUGUCUGCAUCUUCAUGAAGGAGAACCCUGAACUAUCUUGAAGUAGAGAUUAAAAAGCUAAAUAUCAAAUAUAAUGUUACUGAGAUACUGAUGCAAAACAAUUCUUGCAUCUUUAAGACUUUAUAAUAUUUAUAACCCAUGCAAGAAACUAGAGGGGAUGGACCUGAAAGAAUUAAUUACAGAUGUCACAUGCCCAUUCAUUAUCUGUGCUGAUCUGAAUAGUUACAACAGAUUGUGGGAAAGUAAGAAAAAUGAUAAAAAUGGAAAAUGUUUAGAGUAGGGGUAGUCAAUUAUUUUUUGUCAAGGUCCAAAUUUCUUGGUCAAGGUCUAGUCAAGGUCCAGACUCCAGAGAAAAUAAAUACAAACAUAACAAUCAUCAUCAUCAUAAGUAAAUAAAAAGAUUUUGGGGUCCGUUCAAAACGUCUGGUGGUUCGGAUUCGGCCCAUUGACUACCACUGGUUUAGAGCAAUUCUUUGAAGAGAAUAAGUUAGUAAUAUUAAAUGAUAGAACCCUGGCCAGGUUCAAUAUAGCUGACAGAAGUGUCACAUGCUUGGCUCUGGGAAUAGCUUCUAGUACCAUAGCAAGUAAAUGCAGCUGGGAAAAUUACAGAGAAGAGGGAAUGGGUAGUGACCACAUCCUGACGUUAAUUACAUAUCAAGGAAAAGGAAAUAUCAAAGAUGAGGAUAAUAUCUCUACUUGGAAUCUAAGAAAAGCAAUUGGAAGCUCGUUAGAAAUGAAAGUGUGGAAUAUGUGAAUGAGCAACGUGUAAAUGACGAUAUUGAGGAAUUCUGUCAUAAUGCUACUAAGGGAAUCAUAAAUGCAGCCAGCCUAGCUAUUCCUAGGAUACCAACAUCACUCAGAGAUAGGCAAAGGGUACCAUGGUGGAAUAAGGAAUGUGAAGUGGUAAUCAGGGAAAGGAAUAAGGCAUAUAAGACAGCAAAAAAUUCCUUACCUAGCAAGGAUUUAAUGAAAUAUUUUUAAAAAAUGAAAAAAAGACAGUUGCACAAAGGACUAUAAAAAGGGCAAAAAGAGACAUCUGGAGAACAUAUUGCAGGAAAGUCAAUAAAGAUGCCAAUACUGUAGAGCAGGGGUAGGCAACAUGAGCUGAUUUUCAGUGGCACUCACACUGCCCGGGUCGUGGCCAACCAUCCAGGGGGCUCUGCAUUUUAAUUUAAUUUUAAAUGAAGCUUCUUAAACAUUUUAAAAACCUUAUUUACUUUACAUACAACAAUAGUUUAGUUAUAUAUUAAAGACUUAUAGAAAGAGACCUUCUAAAAACGUUAAAAUGUAUUACUGGCACGUGAAACCUUAAAUUAGAGUGAAUAAAUGAAGACUCGGCACACCACUUCUGAAAGGUUGCUGACCUCAAAAUCUGUAAUUUUCCCAGCUGCAUUUGCUGUACAGGUAUAUAAACAACUUAGGAAAAUAAAUGGAAUAUAGAGUAAGACCUACAUGAUACCAAGCCAUGCAUUUACAAGUCAUGAUAUAAUAAGCACCAGCAAAGAAAAAGUAGAAAUUCUGGCCACCAUGUUUUAAAAAAUCUGUAAUGAUGAGGAUAGAGGACAGAAAUUUGGGAUAGGAAAAGAACAUUAAUUAUGGAGAAUUAUGAGAUGAUGAAGAGAUGGGAGGAGGAUGUAGAUAAGAUUUUAAAUGAAAACUUUAGUAUGAGAGUAUGUUUUAAAAUAAAUGAAUAAAUAAUAUAUAAAGGUGAGAAAAAACAGACCUCAACUCUAUUGUCCCUCUGCAAAUUUGUGUACACAGAGUCAAUCCCUUACCUCUCUCUAAAAGUGCAAAGUUUCAAAAAGUUCAAUGAAUAGAAGAUUGUUCGGGGCGGAACAGAUCUGGACAAGGAGAAGUCUGGAGAUAAAUGUGAGAAGGGAGGGACAGGCAGUAGAAACAAAAGUGAAACUGUUUGCACAGCAUACUCCAGUAGUCUUGAGGUCUUUCUGAGUGUAGCCUUCAUUGAUUCGAGAUCUACCAUACCAUUCUCUCACUAGAGGGAAAAACCUAUAAUGGCCACAGGCCGUAAAAGAGACCCAGUUUGGGAAUAUUUUAAUGAAGUUCCUCUAUCUCUGGGUAAGACAGGUAUGCGUGCAAAAUGCAGACAGUGCUACAAAUAAAUGCAAGGCCUGGUUGCCCGAAUUAAACAACAUUGUGAGAAGUGUUCCUUCUCAGGAGGAAGCCUUGUUGAUAGGGGGGAAAUGGUAGACAUGGUAUAUCUUGACUUUAGUAAAGCUUUUCAUACUGUUUCACAUGACCUUCUCAUAAACAAACUAGGGAAAUGCAACCUAGAUGGAGCUACUAUAAGGUGGGUGCAAAACUAGUUGGAAAACCGACUGCAGAGAGUAGUUUUCAGUAGUUCACAGUCAUGCUUGAAGGGCAUAAUGAGUGGGGCCACGCAGGGAUCGGUUCUGUUCAAUAUCUUCAUCAAUGAUUUAGAUAAUGGUAUAGACAGUACACUUAUUAAGUUUGCAGACGACACCAAGCUGGGAGGGGUUGCAAGUGCUUUGGAGGAUAAGAUUAAAAUUCAAAAUGAAUUGGACAAACUGGAGAAAUGGUCUGAAGUAAAGAGGAUUAAAUUAAAUAAGGACAAAUGCAAAGCACUCCAUUUAGGAAGGAACAAUCAGUUGCAUGCAUACAAAAUGGGAAAUGACUGCCUAGGAAGGAGGACUACAGAAAGGGAUCUGGGGGUCAUAGUGGACCACAAACUAAAUGUGAGUCAACAUUGUAACACUUCUGCAAAAAAAGUGAACAUCAUUCUGGGAUGUGUUAAUAGGAGUGCUGUAAGCAAGACACGAGAAGUAAUUCUUCUGCUCUAUUCCGCUCUGAUUAGGCCUCAACUGGAGUAUUGUGUCUAGUUCUGGGCGCCACAUUUCAGGAAAGAUGGGGACAAAUUAGAGAAAAUCCAGAGAAAAGCAACAAAAAUGAUUAAAGGUCUAGAAAACAUGGUCUAUGAAGGAAGAUUGAAAAAAAUUGGGUUUGUUUAGUCUGGAGAAGAGCAGACUGAGAGGGGAUAUGAUAACAGUUUUCAAGUACAUAAAAGGUUGUUAUAAGGAGGAGGGAGAAAAAUUGUUCUUCUUAACCUCUGAGGAUAGGACAAGAAGCAAUGGACUUAAAUUGCAGCCAGGGCCAUUUAGGUUGGACAUUAGGAAAAACUUCCUAACUGUCAGGGUGGUUAAGCACUGGAAUAAAUUGCCUAGGGAGGUUGUGGAAUCUCCAUCACUGGAGAUUUUUAAGAGCAGGUUAGACAAACCCCCAUCAGGGAUGAUCUAGAAAAUAGUUAGUCCUGCCAUGAGUGCAGGGGACUGGACUAGAUGACCUCUCGAGGUCUCUUCUAGGCCUAUAAUUCUAUGAAAAAAGCUCUGAAAUGCUUAAACACCUAAGUGAAGGAAGCUUGAGGGUGAUACUAAAAUUAUAUAAUAGUGUAUGGAGAAAAGGUGAAAUACCUAAGGACUGGACACAUGCCAUUAGUUUCCCAGUGAAGAAACCGAGUAAGUUGAACUCAAGCCCUGAGGCAUACAUACCAAUUGCCCUCACAGCACGUUAGGUAAAACCAUGGAAAGAAUGGUAGCAGAGAGAUGAGUAGCACACCUGGAAAGACCUAUGUGCAUAGAUGGAACGCAAAGCGGAUUCAGAAGGGGUGGGAGUAUGAUUGACCACAUUGUUAGGAUAGAGACAGAACUACAAAAAAGCACGAGAACCAAAAGAUUCAUGAUAGUAACCUUCCUGGACAUAGAAAAAGCCUAUGGUGUGGUAUGGAGAGAAGGACUACUUCAUAAAGUGGCCUCAAUGGGUAAUAUAGGAAGAAUGUUCGGACGGUAAGGGCCUUCUAAAGCAAAAUAACUAUACAAGUCCAAAUAGAAAAAGCUUUUUCGAACAUAUAUUCAAUUGCAAAUGGAACGCCACAGGGAAGUGUAAUUAGCCCAACCCUCUUUAAUAUCGUGAUAAAUGACCUCUCUAAGGAGAGGAGUACAGGAAUAUGGAUCACAUUUUUUGCUGACAACUUGCCAAAUGGGCCCAAAGCAAAAAUUUUGAAAGCGCUGCCAAAAGAAUCAAUGAUGCACUUAAGAGAAAUGCAGAAUGAGGAAACAGGUGGGAUUUCAAAUUCUCCACAGUCUUCAGAUUCUAAGGGAAUGUUCUUCACAACAAGGAAAAUCCAAAAUGCUGUGAAGUUAUAUCGAUAUGACCAGCAGAUAAAUACAAUGAACAUUUUUGAAUUUUUAGGUGUGAUAUUUGAUAAUAAGCUCACUUGGAGGCACCAUAUUGAAAAUAUUAAAGAUGAGUGCAAAGGUAGAAUUAACUUACGUUAAAGUAUCUCUUGAACAUCCUGGGCAGUGGAUAAGAAAACAGUGGUAAUGCUCCCCGAGUGCUAAUUAGGCCUAUUAUUGUGUAUGGAUGCUAGGCAUUUCGUCCAGCAAGGAACACAGAUCUGAGAAAACUAGACUAUGUCCAAGCAUAAGCAUUGUAUACCACAUGUGGGGCCUUCAUUACUACACCUCGGUGUGUAUUAUACAUAGCAGCCAGUGAAAUGCCUAUCACUCUUAUAAGAAAGCUCUCAGACUUAACCUUUUGGGCCAAAGUAUUAGGUAACAGCAAAGAUGACAACACAAAGCUAAUAUAUAAUGACUGCUAGAAAUUAAGUGGAGACGGUAGAACAAAAACUCAAAAUUCCCUAUAUAAGUAGAGUACAGAAGUGGAUGAAGGCUCUUAAUGCAAAGAAAGGACUGAAAAAGACCCAAAUCUAUAGCUAUGGGAAAAUAUUCUGUUACUGGAAAACCAUCCCCCUGUGAUAGACAUGGAAUUAUAUAGUGAAAUAAAUAAGAGAAGACUGAUAAAUCUACAAGAUGUAGCAAAUAAAUAUAUUUGUGAUAAGUGGGGACACUAUUGCCAAAUAUCUACAAACAGCCCCAAAGAGGAAGGAACAGGAAGAGUGGGAACAGCUUUCUGCAGGCCCUCACUUGGACUCAAGAAAGCCAGAAGGCUACUAACUUUGUAUCCGUCUUUACAGCUGAGCUAACAGGGAUUAUACUAGCAAUAAACUGGGUUUUAGAUGUGCGGUCAGUUGCAGUGGCCAUUCUGUCUGACUCCUUAUCAGGACUGCAGGCAAUUUACAGUCCUGGUAAGUCUGACAGCAGAAAUGAUUUUCUUAAUGAAAUACUACUGCUAACAACCAAACUGGCUCAAUUGGAUAUAAGAAUAACUAUAAUUCUGAAUAUACUUGUUAUCAAUAUAAAUGUCCAGCUCUGGUUUGAGUCUUGUUAAAUUCCAUCUACACAGCAAAGAAAAACCUGCAGCUGGCCCGUGCCAGCCAAGUCGGGCUCGCAGGGCUUGGGCUGCGAGGCUGUUUCAUUGCUGUGUAGACACUCGGGCUGUAGCCCAAGCUCUGGGACCCUCCAGCCUCGCAGGGUCCUAGAGCCCAGGGUCCAGCCUGCCUGAGCCCAUAAGUCUACAUGGCAAUAAAACAGCCCCGCAGCCGUAGCCCUGUGAGCCCAAGUCGGCUGGCAUGGGCCAGCCAUGGGUGUCUAGCUGCUGUGUAGACAAACGAUAGUAAGAGCAUGGAUCCAGGUGCACGUAGGGAUAGCAGGGAACACAUUGUCAGACAAACAGGCAAAAAGUGCUAUUAAUCAUGAACAAAUUGACUUAGGGAUCCUCUUAAGCAAACAGAUAUUUAAUCAACUGAUAAAAAAUGAACUAAAAAAGGAAUGACCUGAACUGUGGGCAAAUUAAAGGAAGGGGAAAAAAUUCCAAGAAGUAUGCCCAACAGCUGAUAAUGUUGAUAUAAUAUAAGGCCCUGACAGAGAGAGCCAAGUGGCUCUAUUUAGAAUUCUAACACAGCAUUGUGAAUUAACAGAAAAUUUAUUUCUAAUUAGCAAACAUAAAAAUGGAUUAUCCAUAACAUAUAAGGUCCAGGAAAUAACAGAUCAUAUCCUUUCAGACUGUAAUAACUGUACCAAUGAAAGGAGGUGUUUAUAUAGGAAACUCGGAGGCCUUGAAGUAACUACAUUUUGUAGGCCUUGCAUGAACAAUGGAAGAAAAGGGAAGUAAGGAAGCAGAGAUUAACAACAGACAAAGCAUGAAUUCACAAGUGGCCUUGUAAAUAAUAUGUAGCUAGUAAAUAAAAAAAAUAGUAAGAAGAGUAAUGUGUGUAGUAGGAAGUGGGCCUGAAACAUAAGCCCAUAUAUCAGAGGCCUGGUAUGAGGCCUGAGACCUGGGCUAAAGUAGUCAAAACUUUGUGAUAUAAAGCAAAGUUAAGUUGUGAGCAAGAGGCAGGCCCUGCUCACAGAAUCUGGCAAGAACAGGACUGAUACUGCAGAAACACACAUUCCUAAGUAGUGCUAGGCAUAAGAAUAUAAAUGCAAACACAUUCCAGAAAGGUGGUACCAGAACACCCCGAUACCAAACACAUUCCCCAAAGAUAACAGAAACAUGCUGCCCCAUCUUAAGGAUAAGGUCAGGAUGACAGCAUGAUGAAUAAAGAUGUGUUGAUCGAACCUACAGGUACAAGGCAAUGGAUGGCACCCUAAUACAUCAGAGGGUGGCACCCUUAUACGUCAGGGGCGAUACGUAAUUUGUUUGCAUUGUGUACCUUAAUGUACCUUAGAGAGAGCGUCUGUGCCCAGCUGAGGGGACAGUGGAAAGUCCUGCCACUGACUGAGCUGCGUCCAUUGUCACGGGCAUACAUGUGCUAGUGUAACUGUAGACAUUGAUCUGGGGAGCGAGGACCAUGCUUUGCUGACAAUAAACCUGACCAAGUGCCUUCGCAUCUUCACAGAUUUUGUGGUCAUUUGGCAGUUCGCUGUAGAUCUCCUGUGCCAGCUGUCUGCGCACACAAGGAGAACACACACGCAGCCGAACAUCUGAUGACAAUGUGCUAGUAGCUUCUUACUGUUUUUUUAUCUACCAGCUACAUAUUAUUUACAAGGCCGCUUAUGAAUUCAUGCUUCGUCCAUUGUUAACCUUUGCUUCUUUACUUCUCUUUUCUGCAAAGUAAUGCACAUUGGAAAACAUAAUCCCAACUAUAUAUAUAGAAUGAUGGGGUCCAAAUUAGCUGUUACCACUCAAGAAAGGGAUCUUGGAGUCAUUGCGGAUAGUUAUCUGAAAACAUCCACUUGAUGUGCAGCAGCAGUCAAAAAAAAGCGAACAGAAUGUUGGGAACCAUUAAGAAAGGGAUAGAUGAUAAGACAGAAAAUAUCAUAUUACCACUAUAUAAAUCCAUGGUACUCCCACAUCUUGAAUACUCCAUGCAGAUGUGGUCACCUCAUCUCAAAAAAUAUACUGGAAUUGGAAAAGGGCAACAAAAAUUAUUAGGGGUAUGGAAUGGCUUCCGUAUGAGGAGAGAUUAAUAAAAUUGGGACUUUUCAUCUUGGAAAAGAGAUGACUAAUGGGGGAUAGCAAAGAGGUCUAUAAAAUCAUGACUGGUGUAGAGAAAGUAAAUAAGGAAGUGUUAUUUACUCCUUCUCAUAACACAAGAACUAGGAGUCACCAAAUGAAGUUAAUAGGCAGCAGGUUUAAAAUAAACAAAAGUGAAGUAUUCUUUCACACACCGCAGUCAGUCUGUGGAACGCUUUGCCAGAGGAUGUUGUGAAGCCCAAGACAAUAACAGGGUUCAAAAAAGAACUAGAUACGUUCAUGGAGGAUAGGUUCAUCAAUGGCUAUUAGCCAGGAUGGGCAGGGAUGGUGUCCCUAACCUCUGUUUGUGCUAGGAAUGGGCGAUAGGAGAUGGAUCACUUGAUCCAUCUUUAAAAAAGGGAAGGAGGAGGAUCCAGGGAACUACAGGCCAGUCAGCCUCACCUCGGUCCCUGGAAAAAUCAUGGAGCAAGGUCCUCAAGGAAUCAAUUCUGAAGCACUUAGAGGAGAGGAAAGUGAUCAGGAACAGUCAGCAUAGAUUCACCAAGGGCAAGUCAUGCCUAACUAACCUAAUUGCCUUGUAUGACGAGAUAACUGGCUCUGUGGAUGAGGAGAAAGCAGUGGACAUGUUACUCCUUCACUUCAGGAAAGCUUUUGAUAUGGUCUCCCACAGUAUUCUUGCCAGCAAGUUAAAGAAGUAUGGGCUGGAUGAAUGGACUAUAAGGUGGAUAGAAAGCUGGCUAGAUCAUCGGGCUCAACGGGUAGUGAUCAAUGGCUCCAUGUCUAGUUGGCAGCCAGUAUCAAGCAGAGUGCCCCAAGGGUCGGUCCUGGGGCCAGUUUUGUUCAAUAUCUUCGUUAAUGAUCGGGAGGAUGGUGUGGAUUGCACCCUCAGCAAGUUUGCAGAUGACACUAAACUGGGAGGAGAGGUAGAUACGCUGGAGGGUAGGGAUAGGAUACAGAGAGACCUAGACAAAUUAGACGAUUGGGCCAAAAGAAAUCUGAUGAGGUUCAACAAGGACAAGUGCAGAGUCCUGCACUUAGGAUGGAAGAAUUCCAUGUACCGCUACAGACUAGGGACCGAAUGGCUAGGCAGCAGUUCUGCAGAAAAGGACCUAGGGGUUACAGUGGACGAGAAGCUGGAUAUGAGUCAACAGUGUGCCCUUGUUGCCAAGAAGGCCAAUGGCAUUUUAGGCUGUAUAAGCAGGAGUGUUGCCAGCAGAUCGAGGGAAGUGAUCGUUCCCCUCUAUUCGGCAUUGGUGAGGUCUCAUCUGGAGUACUGUGUUCAGUUUUGGGCCCCACACGACAAGAAGGAUGUGGAAAAAUUGGAAAGCGUCCAGCAGAGGGCACCAAAAAUGAUUAGGGGGCUGCAGCACAUGAUUUAUGAGGAGAGGCUGAGGGAACUGGGAUUGUUUAGUCUGCAGAAGGGAAGAAUGAGGGGGGAUUUGAUAGCUACCUGAAAGGGGGUUCCAAAGAGGAUGGAUCUAGUAGCAGAUGACAGAACGAGGAGUAAUGGUCUCAAGUUGCAGUGGGGGAGGUUUAGGUUGGAUAUUAGGAAAAACUUUUUCACUAGGAGGGUAGUGAAGCAUUGGAACGCGUUACCUAGGGAGGUGGUAGAAUCUCCUUCCUUAGAGGUUUUUAAGGUCAGGCUUGACAAAGCCCUGGCUGAGAUGAUUUAGUUGGGGAUUGGUCCUGCUUUGAGCAGGGGGUUGGACUAGAUGACCUCCUGAGGUCCCUUCCAACUCUGAUAUUCUAUGAUUAUCUGUUCUGUUCAUUCCCUCUGGGGUACCUGGCAUUGGCCACUGUCGGAAGACAGGAUACUGGGCUAGAUGUAUAGGUGGCUGGUGAACCAGCUGUUGGGGGAGGCUAACCCCUUGCCCCUCACCUUCUGCCUGAGGUAUUUUAAACAAAUAUCUAUGGAAACGUGGCUGACCAAAAUAAAAUAAUUAAAAGAGAUGGAAUGACUUACUGCCUGCCUUCAAUUAACUACUGAAGUGUUCAAGCAAGAUUGGCCAAAUGGAAUUAAUGGAUUAAAAAAAAAUGAUGUAACUUUUCUAAAAAAAUAUAUACCUAGUACAUUUACUGUGAUUUAUAAUCUGUACUGUCUCAACACUGCUGUCUUCCUUUAUUCAUUGUAUUUGACAUCCCCUCUUUUAAUACUUACAACAGAAAAUUAUUUUACUGACUAUAAGUCUGUUAAUUUGUAAUAAAAAGUUAGUAACUAAAUUACGUCAGUAGAGUCUGAACUAUUUAAUUCUUGGAAGAAAAGAGGCAAAUGCCAGUUAAACACCAAGCCACCUGCCAAAGCAAUGGCAAGAGGGGAUAAAACUGUCCAACACAGGGCAGGGCUUAACAUCUUUAAAACCAGAGUUUCUGGAUUUCCUCUUCCCAGAACUCCAAUAAAAAUUGAAACUUUUUGUGAAGUGCCCAUCUCUAGCAGGCACUCCUCACUCAGCAGGAGCUCCAGUCUGAAUAACUUGCAUGUUUCCUCUCUCUUCCUAAGCACUGGCAGGACGCACAGUUUGUUUAAUUAGUAUAGGCAGAGCUCCAGUUCUGCCUGACUAUUCACACAAGCAAUGUCACGAAGACCUGGUGCAG